UACGGGGGGGGGCUAGCGUUGCUCGGAAUUACUGGGCGUAAAGCGCACGUAGGCGGCUUCUUAAGUCGGUGGUGAAAUCCUGGAGCUCAACUCCAGAACUGCCUUCGAUACUGGGAGCUCGAGUCCGGGAGAGGUGAGUGGAACUGCGAGUGUAGAGGUGAAAUUCGUAGAUAUUCGCAAGAACACCAGUGGCGAAGGCGGCUCACUGGCCCGGUACUGACGCUGAGGUGCGAAAGCGUGGGGAGCAAACAGG
rnacentral:rRNA from 1 species